AGAAUCAACGCUGGCGGCGUGCCUAACACAUGCAAGUUGCACGAGAAAGGGGAGCAAUCCCUGAGUACAGUGGCGCACGGGUGAGUAACACGUGAAUAAUCUACCUCCGAGUGGGGAAUAACUGAGAGAAAUCUUAGCUAAUACCGCAUAACACUUACGAGUCAAAGCAGCAAUGCGCUUGGAGAGGAGUUCGCGGCCGAUUAGUUAGUUGGCGGGGUAAUGGCCCACCAAGACGAUGAUCGGUA
rnacentral:rRNA from 1 species